AUGAGCAAUGGAAUCUUCAAAAGCCCCGUGCAUAGAGUUGUGACAAAUGCUGAGAAAGAAAGGCUAUCGCUGGCUCUAUUCUACUCGGUUGAUCCUGAGAGAGAAAUUGAGCCAGCGACUCAGCUGGUAGAUGAGAAGAGACCAGCGUUGUACAGAAAGGUCAAGGUGAAGGACUACAUUGCUGGACUCUAUGAACAUGUGUCUCAAGGAACGAUGGUUAUUGACACAGUGAAGAUAUAA
rnacentral:rRNA from 1 species